rnacentral:rRNA from 1 species
CCUACGGGCGGCAGCAGUAGGGAAUCUUUCACAAUGGGCGAAAGCCUGAUGGAGCAACGCCGCGUGCAGGAUGAAGGCCUUCGGGUUGUAAACUGCUUUUAUAAGCGAGAAAUAUGAUGGUAACUUAUGAAUAAGGAACGGCUAACUACGUGCCAGCAGCCGCGGUCAUACGUAGGAUCCGAGCAUUAUCCGGAGUGACUGGGUGUAAAGAGUGGCGUAGGUGGCAUAAUAAGUAGCUAGUGAAAUCUGGUGGCUCAACCAUUCAGACUAUUAGCUAAACUGUUAAGCUCGAGACCGUUAGGGGUAACUGGAAUUUCUAGUGUAGGAGUGAAAUCCGUAGAUAUUAGAAGGAACACCAAUAGCGUAGGCAGGUUGCUGGGACGGUUCUGACACUAAGGCACGAAAGCGUAGGGAGCAAACGGGAUUAGAUACCCCAGUAGUC